rnacentral:rRNA from 1 species
AUACGGAGGGGGCUAGCGUUGUUCGGAAUUACUGGGCGUAAAGCGUACGCAGGCUGACCAUUAAGUUAGAGGUGAAAUCCCAGGGCUCAACCCUGGAACUGCCUUUAAAACUGCUGGUCUGGAGUUAUGGAGAGGUAAGUGGAAUUCCUAGUGUAGAGGUGAAAUUCGUAGAUAUUAGGAGGAACACCAGAGGCGAAGGCGGCUUACUGGACAUAUACUGACGCUGAGGUACGAAAGUGUGGGGAGCAAACGGGAUUAGAUACCCUAGUAGUCC